rnacentral:rRNA from 1 species
UACAGAGGGGGCAAGCGUUGUUCGGAAUUACUGGGCGUAAAGGGCGCGUAGGCGCCUUCUAAGUCGAACGUGAAAUCCCCCGGGCUCAACCCGGGAACUGCGUCCGAUACUGGAAGGCUUGAAUCCGGGAGAGGGAUGCGGAAUUCCAGGUGUAGCGGUGAAAUGCGUAGAUAUCUGGAGGAACACCGGUGGCGAAGGCGGCAUCCUGGACCGGUAUUGACGCUGAGGCGCGAAAGCGUGGGGAGCAAACAGG